rnacentral:lncRNA from 1 species
UUGUAAUUGAAGUAUAAAUAGAAGCAUAAUUCGGGAAUUACUACUUGUCCUUUCUCAUCAAUCACCACUCUUUAAGCGUGCCACUGGGAUAAUUCUAAAAGUGCUAAGUCCUUCCUCUCAAUUCCUUCCCUGACAAUAUCUGAAAGGGUUUUAGGAAGUAUAGUAACAUUUGAGUUGUAUGCAAAUUUCCUCUGCAGGAAAACAUGGAGACGGUGGCUGGGGUAUCGGUUGCACACAGUCUAAACAUUCCCUGCAGUCUUAAUUAACCACAUUUGCUUUCCUCUUGCUUCAGGCUGAGUCAGCCCAACCACCACUGAAGCCAGUUACCAGCCUGUGUGAUCACGUGAUGUGUGACUACAUCUUGGCCUGUGAUAAACGAUCGUGUCUCUUGACCCACAGGAGUUUGUAACAUUCUUUUAGUGUAUACUGAGUCAUUACUAUUGCACUGAACCAAAGUAAAUGAAUGUCUACUGCCAUUGUCAUAGAAAAAGAGGAAAGAAGGAAGGAAGGAAGGAAGGCAAGGUAACUGAAGACAAAAAGGGGACGUGCCUGGCCUGGGGUCACCCAGCUGGUAAAUGUCAUGGCUGAGACUCAAACCCAGAUAAAGUGUAGCCAAAAGACAAACAAACCUGCUUAACUGAAGAUGAUCAGUUAGGAUACAGGGAGGUGUUUUAAACAAAUGGCAGACAAAUUGAGAAAUCUGUACUUCAAGUCCAACUCAUCCUGAGAAAUGCCAGAAUUUUAGCAACAAAACAAACCCGCAAGUCUUCUUCGUUCUUGAGAGUCAUGCCGUUUUCCUCCAAACAAGGACGAAAGGCUCUUUGCUUGUGGAGUGUCUCAGUCUAGCAGUAGAUUGGAAAAAUGUCCAAGCAGGGGACUCGAGUUCUCUCCCGGAUGAGUUCAUUUCAAUAGUCACUGUGUUUCAUCGGAUGCAGCUGGUUACAUUUUUAAUAGGCAGAUGGCUAAUUUUACAGUUCCAAGCCAAUCUCUCAUUGGACAACAUCCAGAAAGCCCGUGGUAGGGUGAUGCCCAGCAGAAAGUUCAACAGGACACUUGGGGGGAACAUAUGCUAAUGUCAGCCCUUUUACUUAAAUGUCUUUAAAAAGAAUAUUCAGUGCUAAGCUGAGGGAUUUUCACAGACUCAAGCCUAACACCAGAUGGGUGGCCAGCUAUGAAGUCCUUAGGGCCUGAGCAAAUGCUCUUAAUCUGGCUUGGAUGGUCGGAGAAUCAAAUAGCACCAAACCGGUAAUCUCUGAGUGAUUUUUAAAAAUGACAAAGGUGUAUGCACUUGCAGAAAUGACCAGGCUAACUAGAGAAGCGAGUUUCUCUUAAUAGAAGCCCAUGGCGUUACUAAAGCCCUGUGGUCCUAUGAUUACCUCGGCAUCCCGACCUCCGUUUUGGGUGCCCCUCCCCAUCUGACCUUUAUGGAGUUACACGAAUGAAUGUCCGUUUACCUCCCCCCAGGUGACAGCCCCUCGCCUCCAGGGUCAGAGAGGGCGGAAUGUCUGUUGCAGUUAAGCAUCCUUAUUUUUAAACUGUUUGGAAAUCUCUCUCUCCAAGGAGAUGGCUAUUUAGACAUCUUAAUUAAAAGGGAAUUUGGAAAUAUCUCCCGUUUUGCAGCGCAUGUAAUCAAGCAUUUCUUUUUCUCUGCAGAAGGACUUUGGUUGCCUCUUCACAAAAGGCUUUGAAAUGUCCUAAAACAAUCCCCCGCAGCUCGGGGUGGGGGUAGGGGCGGGAGAGAGAGAGAGAGAGAGAGAGAGAGAGAGAGAGAGAGAGAGAGAGAGAGAAAAAAAAAACCAAAGCAAAAAACAACAAACAUUUUCUGGGAGGUGAUAAAAGUCUUGGAUGCAAAGUAUCCUUAUUUUAUCCCAUGUGAUGAAUUGCCAUAGGGUGGCUGGAAAACUCUUUAAGAACCCCAAGGGCAAAUGCCGUUGUUUAAAUGAGGCAAAUGUUGUUUACCUCUAAGCAAAAUAAAAGCUAAGGAUCAGAAGAAAGAGGGGAUCAAAAGAUCUUUCUCCAAACAGAUUUAUAAAAGAGAGUGAUUUUUAAAUGAUUUCAACUCCUACUUUAUAAAAAUAUUUUAUGAGGCACUUUUCUGAAAAUAACAUGCUUCUGAAGAGUUUUCCUCCCCAAAUCGCUUCCUGAAAAUGGUGGCAUUACUUUCAUGCAGUACAAUUGCCUACACAAGACCUUAUUUAAAACAAUGCAAAAGAAAUUUGACAAAGCUAGUAACUCUGCACAAGGAAACUGGGCAUUUUUUUUUUUUUUGCCGGGAAAAUAACCUUCAAACCUCAAACUAAAUCUGAAACUGCUUCUAUCAAAUUUUUCUUUCAAGAACCUGGAAAGCGGUUCAUUUUGUUUUUUCGAGCAGAUUGUGAAAAGAGUUUUCUUGCAGAGUUUUUGUUUUAUAAUCAAAAUAAUUCGAGGGAAGUGACAGGACUUUUCCUUUGAGAUUUUUUUUUUUUUUUCUGGACAAAAUCUAAUAGAGGGAGAGAGAGAAAAAAAUCUAACCAAAUCCAAGACUUGCAGACAAAAGUUACACACAAUCAGAAAACCCUCAAAGAUAGGUAUAAAUUAUUCUGUCACUAAAUUAAAGUAUUGGUAGAAGAAAAGUCUUAAAAAUGUAAAAUGAGUACUAGCCAAAUACCUUCACAGUUAAUGGAAUUAUGGAAACUUCUCUCUGGUGUGAAUACCCCCAAACACAUUUUAGAUUUAUUUUUAAAGUGUAGUUUAAAGAAACUUUAUACCAUUUAAAAAAAAAAUAACUUUGAAAGGAAAAGAGCCAAAAGAAAAGCAGAAAUUAGGGCAGUUUUUAAACUACAAGCCAACUGUUUGCUCUACUUUGCUUUAUUUAUUAGUUCUCAAGGUAUUUAAAACUUGAGCAUUAAAACUGCAGAAUAAUUUGCAAAUGAAUGCAGUUGCAGUUGUGAAAAUAUAACUCACAGCUGAAUGUGGGUUAUUCAGACAAAUGGCUGCUUUGUUCGAGGAGGGGAAGUAAAGUUCUGUGUUAAUUUAUUACAAACUGCAGCAUUUCAUCCCUGAUGUCCAGGCAACAAUGUUUUUUAUUUCAAGUAAUUUAUAAGCACUUCCCAGAGCACUUAGCCGUGAUGUCCUUGGCUGUUUUGCUCCCAGAGACGGAGUGUAUAUGUAUUUACUGUGGGAAUUUGUUUUUAAUAAAACUGUUGUAAGGCAUUUUUAUUCCUUUGCUUUGUUACAUUAAAAACAUUCACUGCAUAAGUAAUGUAUUUUAUUCCAAGUUGAAAGGCAGCAGAUCACAGCCGGCAACUGUAUUGGGGGGUAGAGAAUAAUGACGAGAAAAGUAAUGUUUAAAGCGAACCAGACCCUUUUCUGAGUUGCUCUAGGUGUCUCUUUGCCUCUGCAUUUAAGGGAAGCAGCAAUUAGAUGACCAAGGGCCCAGGAAAAGUAUCUAGGAGGUCCCAGGAUGCAGGCAAUCGGAGAAUGGAGAAUCAAAUAGAGAAGGGCAGACUAAGGUGCAGCGAAUGUGUGUUUGUGUGCUCCCGUGCAUGUGUGCAUAAACAUGCACACGUGUGUGUGAUCAAUGUUACCAAUUCUGAUAAGUUUUCAUGAUUCCCCUGUAUCUCCCAGAGUCAGUUCACGACCCUAGAUAAUCCAAAAUUGACCUUUAUUUCAAUGUUUAAGGAAAACAGAUGCCUUUGUAUGUACACAUAGACAAUUUUAAAAAUCAGAUUCUGUGUGGUAGGAAGAAAUUGUGGCAAGUUUUCAACUUCAAUGAGAGAAUUGUGGAGUGAUCUAAAAGUUUCAAGGGUCCUGUCCCAAGGGUAGCUGUUCUGCUGAUGCCAAGAGUCUUUCUGGGGAUCCCAGCAUUUCAGUGGCCUUUAACCAUUUUUCUUUAUCAAGGGGGAUGAGUUGGUUAAAGUCAUAGCUCAUUUGUCAACCUAUUUUAUUGAUCUAUCGUCUAUCUAUCUAUCUAAUCUCU